UACAGAGGGGGCAAGCGUUGUUCGGAAUUACUGGGCGUAAAGGGCGCGUAGGCGGUGCGGUAAGUCACCUGUGAAAACUCUGGGCUCAACUCAGAGCCUGCAGGCGAAACUGCCGUGCUGGAGUGUGGGAGAGGUGCGUGGAAUUCCUGGUGUAGCGGUGAAAUGCGCAGAUAUCAGGAGGAACACCGGUGGCGAAGGCGGAUCUCUGGGCCAUUACUGACGCUGAGGAGCGAAAGCGUGGGGAGCGAACAGG
rnacentral:rRNA from 1 species